UCCGAGUUGACCCCGGCAGUCUCCUAUGAGUCCCCGGCAUGACCCGCUGGCAACAUAGGACGAGGGUUGCGCUCGUUGCGGGACUUAACCCAACAUCUCACGACACGAGCUGACGACAACCAUGCACCACCUGUACAGGGCCCUUGCGGACCUCACAUCUCUGCGAGUUUUCCCUGUAUGUCAAGCCUUGGUAAGGUUCUUCGCGUUGCAUCGAAUUAAUCCGCAUGCUCCGCCGCUUGUGCGGGCCCCCGUCAAUUCCUUUGAGUUUUAGCCUUGCGGCCGUACUCCCCAGGCGGGGCACUUAAUGCGUUAGCUACGGCGCGGAAAACGUGGAAUGUCCCCCACACCUAGUGCCCAACGUUUACGGCAUGGACUAC
rnacentral:misc_RNA from 1 species